rnacentral:rRNA from 4 species
UACGGAGGGUGCAAGCGUUAUCCGGAUUUACUGGGUUUAAAGGGUGCGCAGGCGGAUAUGUAAGUCAGUGGUGAAAUCUCUAGGCUUAACCUGGAAAUUGCCGUUGAUACUAUAUAUCUUGAAUGCUGUGGAGGUAAGCGGAAUAUGUCAUGUAGCGGUGAAAUGCUUAGAUAUGACAUAGAACACCUAUUGCGAAGGCAGCUUACUACGCAGAUAUUGACGCUCAUGCACGAAAGCGUGGGGAUCAAACAGG